rnacentral:rRNA from 1 species
AUUGAACGCUGGCGGCAUGCUUUACACAUUCAAGUCGAACGGUAACAGGCCGCAAGGUGCUGACGAGUGGCGAACGGGUGAGUAAUGCAUCGGAACGUGCCCAGUCGUGGGGGAUAACGCAGCGAAAGCUGCGCUAAUACCGCAUACGAACUAUGGAUGAAAGCGGGGGACCGUAAGGGCUCGCGCGAUUGGAGCGGCCGAUGUCGGAUUAGGUAGUUGGUGGGGUAAAGGCUCACCAAGCCAACGAUCUGUAGCUGGUCUGAGAGGACGACCAGCCACACUGGGACUGAGACACGGCCCAGACUCCUACGGGAGGCAGCCGUGGGGAAUUUUGGACAAUGGGCGCAAGCCUGAUCCAGCAAUGCCGCGUGCAGGAAGAAGGCCUUCGGGUUGUAAACUGCUUUUGUACGGAACGAAACGGUCCUGGUUAAUACCCGGGGCUAAUGACGGUACCGUAAGAAUAAGCACCGGCUAACUACGUGCCAGCCGCCGCGGUAAGAC